rnacentral:rRNA from 1 species
UCCGGAAUUACUGGGCGUAAAGGGCUCGUAGGUGGUUUGUCGCGUCGUCUGUGAAAUUCCGGGGCUUAACUCCGGGCGUGCAGGCGAUACGGGCAUAACUUGAGUACUGUAGGGGUAACUGGAAUUCCUGGUGUAGCGGUGAAAUGCGCAGAUAUCAGGAGGAACACCGAUGGCGAAGGCAGGUUACUGGGCAGUUACUGACGCUGAGGAGCGAAAGCAUGGGUAGCGAACAGGAUUAGAUACCCUGGUAGUCCAUGCCGUAAACGGUGGGCGCUAGGUGUGAGGGUCUUUUCACGACUUUCGUGCCGUAGCUAACGCAUUAAGCGCCCCGCCUGGGGAGUACGGCCGCAAGGCUAAAACUCAAAGGAAUUGACGGGGGCCCGCACAAGCGGCGGAGCAUGUGGAUUAAUUCGAUGCAACGCGAAGAACCUUACCUGGGCUUGACAUACACCGGAUUGGGCUAGAGAUAGUCUUUCCCUUUGUGGCUGGUGUACAGGUGGUGCAUGGUUGUCGUCAGCUCGUGUCGUGAGAUGUUGGGUUAAGUCCCGCAACGAGCGCAACCCUUGUCUUAUGUUGCCAGCAUUUGGUUGGGGACUCAUGAGAGACUGCCGGGGUCAACUCGGAGGAAGGUGGGGAUGACGUCAAAUCAUCAUGCCCCUUAUGUCCAGGGCUUCACACAUGCUACAAUGGUCGGUACAACGCGCAGCGACACUGUGAGGUGGAGCGAAUCGCUGAAAGCCGGCCUUAGUUCGGAUUGGGGUCUGCAAC